GAUGAAGAACGUAGCGAAAUGCGAUAAGUAAUGUGAAUUGCAGAAUUCAGUGAAUCAUCGAAUCUUUGAACGCACCUUGCACUCCUUGGUAUUCCGAGGAGUACGCCUGUUCGAGUGUUAUGAAGCUCUCAAAACGCAAUUGGCUUAAAACCUGAUUGUUGUUUUGGAUUUGAACUUUGCCGUGUUAUAACGGCUGGUUUUAAAAGUAUUAGCUGGUACUAGAACGAAUUGGUUCUACUCAACGUGAUAAUUAUCUGAUCGUUGAGGACAUUCCUUUCACGAGGAAUGGCCAUAGUAAAUUCAAUGGACUGCUUCUAAUCUGGCUUUAAUUCUUUAUUGGAAUAACCACUUUUCAAAUCUGACCUCGAAUCAGGUGGGACUACCCGCUGAACUUAAGCAUAUCAAUAAGCGGAGGA
rnacentral:misc_RNA from 1 species